GACGAACGCUGGCGGCGUGCCUAAUACAUGCAAGUCGAACGCAGAAGGAGGAGCUUGCUUCUCUGGAUGAGUUGCGAACGGGUGAGUAACGCGUAGGUAACCUGCCUGGUAGCGGGGGAUAACUAUUGGAAACGAUAGCUAAUACCGCAUAAUAUUGACUAUUGCAUGAUAGUCAGUUGAAAGGUGCAACUGCACCACUACCAGAUGGACCUGCGUUGUAUUAGCUAGUUGGUGGGGUAACGGCUCACCAAGGCGACGAUACAUAGCCGACCUGAGAGGGUGAUCGGCCACACUGGGACUGAGACACGGCCCAGACUCCUACGGGAGGCAGCAGUAGGGAAUCUUCGGCAAUGGACGGAAGUCUGACCGAGCAACGCCGCGUGAGUGAAGAAGGUUUUCGGAUCGUAAAGCUCUGUUGUAAGAGAAGAACGAGUGUGAGAGUGGAAAGCUCACACUGUGACGGUAGCUUACCAGAAAGGGACGGCUAACUACGUG
rnacentral:rRNA from 1 species